rfam:Picea glauca, whole genome shotgun sequence.
GUGUGCGAUCAUACCAAUGUUAAUGCAUCGGAUCCCAUUAGAACUCAACAGUUAAGCACGCUUGGGCUAGAGUAGUAUUGGGAUGGGUGACCUCCUGGGAAGUCCUAGUGUUGCACCCU